AGGGAAUCUUCCACAAUGGACGGAAGUCUGAUGGAGCAACGCCGCGUGAGUGAUGAAGGUUUUCGGAUCGUAAAACUCUGUUGUAAGGGAAGAACCAGUACGUCAGGCAAUGGACGUACCUUGACGGUACCUUAUUAGAAAGCCACGGCUAACUACGUGCCAGCAGCCGCGGUAAUACGUAGGUGGCAAGCGUUGUCCGGAAUUAUUGGGCGUAAAGCGCGCGCAGGUGGUUUCUUAAGUCUGAUGUGAAAGCCCACGGCUUAACCGUGGAGGGUCAUUGGAAACUGGGAGACUUGAGUGCAGAAGAGGAAAGUGGAAUUCCAAGUGUAGCGGUGAAAUGCGUAGAGAUUUGGAGGAACACCAGUGGCGAAGGCGGCUUGCUGGACAAAUACUGACGCUGAGGUGCGAAAGCGUGGGGAGCAAACA
rnacentral:rRNA from 1 species